rnacentral:rRNA from 1 species
GGAUUGGGAGGGUUCUACGGAACCCGUUUGGUGAAUCUAGUGCCGAGAAAAGCCUUCUAUGUGUUGAAUUUCUAGUACCCGUACCCCAAACCGACACAGGUGGGUGGGUAGAGCAUACCUAGGGGCGCGUGAUAACUCUCUCUAAGGAACUCGGCAAAAUGGCCCUGUAACUUCGGGAUAAGGGGUGCCUGCGUGAGCAGGCCGCAGUGAAAUGGCUCUGGCGACUGUUUACCAAAAACACAGGUCUCUGCUAAGUCGUAAGACGAUGUAUAGGGGCUGACUCCUGCCCAGUGCCGGAAGGUUAAGGAAGUUGGUUAGCGCAAGCGAAGCUGGCGACCGAAGCCCCGGUGAACGGCGGCCGUAACAAUAACGGUCCUAAGGUAGCGAAAUUCCUUGUCGGGUAAGUUCCGACCCGCACGAAAGGAGUAACGAUCAGAGCGCUGUCUCGGAGAGAGACACGGCGAAAUAGGAUUGUCCGUGAAGAUACGGACUACCUGCACCCGGACAGAAAGACCCUAUGAAGCUUUACUGUAACUUGGAAUUGUGUUCGGACUUUGUCUGCGCAGAAUAGGUGGGAGGCUAUGAAACGUUCCUCGCGGGGAACUGGAGCCAUCGUUGAGAUACCACUCUGGCAGAGUCUGGAUUCUAACCUACGGGGACAGUUCCAGGUGGGCAGUUUGACUGGGGCGGUCGCCUCCUAAAAUGUAACGGAGGCGCGCAAAGGUUCCCUCAGGCUGGUUGGAAAUCAGCCAUAGAGUGUAAAAGCAUAAGGGAGCUUGACUGUGAGACCUACAAGUCGAGCAGGGACGAAAGUCGGCUUUAGUGAUCCGACGGCACUGAGUGGAAGGGCCGUCGCUCAACGGAUAAAAGUUACUCUAGGAUAACAGGCUGAUCUCCCCCAAGAGUUCACAUCGACGGGGAGGUUUGGCACCUCGAUGUCGGCUCGUCGCAACCUGGGGCGGUAGUACGUCCCAAGGGUUGGGCUGUUCGCCCAUUAAAGCGGCACGUGAGCUGGGUUCAGAACGUCGUGAGACGGUUCGGUCCAUAUCCGGUGUAGGCGUAGGAGCAUUGAAAGGAUCUCUCCUUAGUACGAGAGGACCGGGAGGGACGUACCUCUGGUGUACCUGUUAUCGUGCCAACGGUAAACGCAGGGUAGCCAUGUACGGAGUGGAUAACCGCUGAAAGCAUCUAAGUGGGAAGCCCACCUUAAGAUGAGUGCUCCCUUGAGGCCACGGGAAGACGACCCGUUUGAUAGGCGCUAGGUGGAAGUGCAGUAAUGCAUGCAGCCGAGGCGUACUAAUAGGCCGAUGGC